rnacentral:tRNA from 1 species
GGGAAAGUAGCUCAGUGGUAGAGCAUUUGCCUGGCAUACAGGAGGUCCCGGGUUCAGGUCCCAGUACCCCA